rfam:Flavobacterium sp. EM1308 contig00052, whole genome shotgun sequence.
UUUUAGCCCCGAUAGAAGUGGAAAUCCUUGUGGGCCGGGGUUCGGCACACAAGAUUGUAGCGGAUAGCGGGACCAAUG